GUGCUCACUUCGGCAGCAUAUAUACUAAAAUUGGAAUGAUACAGAGAAGAUUAGCAUGGCCCCUGCACAAGGAUGACACACAAAUUCGUGAAGCAUUCCAUAUUAAA
rnacentral:snRNA from 1 species